GGAAAGGACAGUUCUGCAUCAGCUACUUGUGUUCUGACUACUAUAAAUAUGUAUCAACCACAGAACUGACACUUACUAGCAGUUCCCACUCACUACCAGUCAGUUGACUCACUGUACAAGACCUCUCCUCUUCACUUCACUCUAUGCAUGGACUGCAUGAUGUAAUCAUCCUGGCCUGGAGGCAGGAAGGGACAAAAUGCACAACGGACUGCAGGGUGGGAGAUGCAACAAUGGCCUUGAGAACAGCAGGAAGUGUGUUGGUGGUCUUUCUCUGGUCUGUAGCAGUGGUACUGGGUCAGUAUGGCUGGAGUGUGACUUACACCACUCAGAGUAUCUGUGUCUUGGAGGGGUCAACAGUGGAGCUGUCCUGCUCUAUCAGAUAUCCCAGUGGUACAGUCACAUCAACCGUCUGGUUCACUAAAUGGGGGACUGGUGUAGAACCUGAAGAUCUAGGUCAGGACCCAGAGUAUGCAGGUCGUCUGGAGUAUCAUGGGGAUAAGAAGAAUGGUCACAACCUGAGAAUCACAGACCUGAGAGAGAAAGACUCAGCUACGUACAAGUUCAGAUUUAUAACAGAUCAGACUGGAGGGAAAUAUACUGGUGAUCCUGGAGUCACUCUGUCUGUCACAGUGUCCAUCCUGACCCUAACGGUGACACACACACACCAGUGAAAAUGAGGACCAGACAUUCUGGCUAGUGUGAGGUGCUCGCCCAGUGACACGUUCACUGCUCUUCAGAGAGACGCUCAGCCCUCCAUGUAUCAGACCAUCCAGGGGAGAAAACCACCACAGAACCUGGACUGAUAGAACCACCACAGAACCUGCACUGAAGAGAACCACCACAGAACUUGGACUGAAGACAACCACCACAGAACCUGGACUGAUAGAACCACAACAGAACCUGCACUGAAGAGAACCACCACAGAACCUGGACUGAAGAGAACCACCACAGAACCUGGACUGAUAGAACCACCACAGAACCUGG